CAAGUAUGAGGAAGUAGAAACUUUAUAACAGCUAGAAAUUUCGCCAGAGUUGCUCAAUUCGAAAGUGCGACAUGUGUAACUGCUUCUGAUAAGGAAAUGGCUUGGCAGCUAUCGCCGCGUGUCAAUACUCUGUGAUUAGAUUAGUAUGAAGACUGUUAUGUUACAUGCAGUACCUUGUAUAUAAAUUUAGUAUCCAUUACUACUCGGAAUCAGGAAAGAUCUUAAGAAGAAAGUAACAGAAUUAGAAUGACUUCUGAAGAGGACUUACAGAACUGUAUUGAAACCACAGAUCUGAAAGCACAAGGUCCUGGAGUCCACAGUCACACAUCAAGACCUUAUGCUGGCCAGCCUGGUGAUCUCAUCAGCCAUGAAGAUGGCCUCCAUGGUGAUCUUAUCACUCACUCUCAAGUCCUCACUUCAGGACUUCACUCAGUUACACCUAGGAAUAACCUGAAGGAACCUGAGACUUCAGUAGUUGAAACAUACUUACCCAGUUCUUCAUCUUUGGGCUUGAGCAAAUACUCCCUGCUGCUGAAACUGCUAAAGACUAGAGGACAAAGGAGGAUAGGAGGUACAAAAAGUGCCCAGACUGUAAAUGAUGGGUCUCAUAGCAAUAAACAGAAGGAAACCAAGAGAUGUGAGAUAUUUAAGCUAAGGCAUGAAAGAUUUAAUGGCACUGGCACCAAUUACACCCCAGAUUGCACUAUAAGUCAACAGUCAAAUAUUACUGAAGUUGAGAAAAAUAUGCUUUCAUCAGGAUUAGAGGACGAUUGGUCAAGUGAUGAGGAAAUGCAGUAUUUUGGUUCAUACAGUCAAGCUCAGAGGGAAUUCCACAAUAAAAUCAAUUUGAAUGAGGGCGGCGAAAGUGACAGUAACUGUAAAAAUUCCAGUGAUUUGACUUGUGUGAAACCAUGUAGAACAAUCCGUCAGUCUGAUCCAUUUGGAAGAAUUCUAGAUAAGUUUGAUAUUUUCAUAUGUAGAAUAAAAGUUUCUCUCUAUGCCAAAACCAUAUCAGGAGACUUAGAGGAUGCUAGUGAAUCUCUGUCAGACUUGGGGAAUUGUCUCCUUGAUAUUAAGUCUAGCUUCUCAUAUUCAGAAGUGAUUGAAAAACUCUCAUCCUUUACUAAGUGUAUUGAAAACAACAGUGGUCUUGCUUCAGUUUUUCUACUUCAUUUCACCCAGUACAUUAGCUCAGAACUUGCACUGGAAAAUAACUUGAGAGAAAUUAGUGGGUUUGUUGAGUGCAUGAGCCCAUGCAUAGAGGCUGCUAUAAAGGGAUAUAUCUCACAGGAUGUGAUCAGUGACAUCAAGAACCAAAAUCUCAUCCAAAAUUUGUUACUUAGUGUUGCUGCUUUAUUCAAGGAGGAGACAAAGUACAAGGAAAGUUCCAUAAGAACAAUCAUGGAAUAUGGCAAGGGUGCAAACCCAGCAAAGGCACAAAUAAUUCGCAUGAGCACAGAAGAUUCCAAAACUAUAUUCCAGGAAACAUUUGCAGAUGUGGGCCCACACAUGGAUCUCUACACUAUUUACUUUUGGUAUAUCAUCAAUGUCUGUAAGUUGGAAGUCAAGGAUGGGAAGCAGUCAUCCAUGAUAUCCAUGACCAAGGCUCUUGAGGCAUCGGGAAAGUUCAUAAAUACCCUUCCAACGAGUGAGCUCAAGUCCAGAAAGUCAGAACUUCUUUCAAUAAAUGAAAAGCAAAAUGUUCAUCAGCCCGGUGAGUUUAAAGUCAUCCAGGCAAAUGACACAAGUGCCUUUGCUGCCCCUUCCUCUUCCAGCUCCACCUGCUCCCCCAUCACUGCCUCCUCCCCCGUCACUGCCUCCUCCCCCCCCAGUACUCCUACCCCAGCCAGUGAGCUCCGCUACCAGUGGGUGGACUUCAGACUAGGACAACUGUAUGAGAAUGGAGUAGCUUUCCUGGUGAAUAUGGAAAACUGGCAGGAAAAGCUGCUAGAAAUCUCAAGACUUGUGCAGAACCUUGAAGUAAAGAAACAUGUGCGGUUCUCUCCUUCUCUUGGUGCUACUUUUGCUCUGUUUUUACGGGAAGGACUUAGAACCCUCACUGGCAAAGCAAGCGUAGCCUACAUUCGUGUGCGAGUGGUGCGAGUUGUAGGUCCAGUUGUGUGUGUUUAUGGCAUAGACACUGGCACCACGCAUACCUGUCACUCAGUAGACCUCAUUCUUUUGCCAUCGACGGUCCUUAGUCAACUCCCUGCUGGACGUCUCGCCUUCUUGCCUGUUGCACCAACACCAGAGGUUUCUUCCCUUACUCAUACUCUGGCCCUCCUUCUCGCUCUCAUACAGCACUCUGACUUGUCGUUGGAUUUACAAGGGGUAGACAUCAGGCCAGUGGCAAAGUGGCUGCAUUGUGAUGACUUGGUGCCUUUAACUGUGCAACUUUUGCAAGCAGUUGUAGAUGUCACUCAGAAUGCAGACCGGUUGUGCAACAUAUGUUCAUUGCUAACAGAUUACUUGGAACGAACAGUUUACAGAAAAAGCAGUCUUGAAUUUCCCAUUGAUGAGAGCUUGCCAAAGAUGCUGAUUUCGGUUAUGCAGAAAUCCCCCAAAGCUCGAUUCACAGCUGCGAAGAAUGGAGCUUUCAUGCCUUUAUGCGAGAUUGGUAUGCAGACAGGAAGUAAGAGUGCGUGGGAAGCUCUGAAGACGUUGCUCGGAGGGAAGGAGAGUCUGGGGCGGUGGAGUCAGCUUUCACAGAAGGUGUCAAAGCUCCAUGCCUUUAGCAAUCCUGACAGCCUGAAGGCAGCAUCCAUAGCAGACAAGGAGCAGCAUGAUCAAUCAGACCCCUCUAUGAGGGUCAUGCGUGUGGCAGACCUGGCUAGUGACCGCACAUGGGACCUAGAAAUCAGGUCCAGCAUCAAGUCACGGCAGCUUGUGGCAUACAAUGAACUCAAAGAAGGUUGGCACUGGGUUGGCCAGGAAGUUUUGACGGCUGACGUUGGGGAGCUCUGCAGUGGCCAUAUAUUAAAUGUGACCAAUGACGAGACUCAUCACAUUAUCCUGGAUAAAAGUGUUCCAAACAUUCGUAUGAACACUGUAUUACAGAUAAUUCUGGGCAUGCUGAACACCGGGCUAGGAGGCAAAAUUUACAUUGGCUUGAGCAGCAAAGGGAUUGUGUGUGGAGCCAAAAUGACCAGAGUGCAACGUGAUUGUUUUAUGCUGGGUUUUUCAAAAUUAGUCACCUCUGAGAUCUUCCCAAUGCUCUUGCCAUGUAAUUCACUCAUUCAAUUCAUCCCUGUGGUUCGGCCUGGAAGUACUCUUAAUGUUCUUCCAUCACUUUCGUCGUCACUUCAUACAACUUUACCCUCUGAUGCGUCAGUGAUCAUCAUGACUGUGCCUGCUAAAUCACUUCGAAGGAAAGGAGAUGACGUUUUUUUCAAAUGCAGAAAUUCAUUCAAUCAAAUAGAGGACGGGAGAAACAGAAUUAUGACAAUAAUCAUAACAAGUCAUUGAAAACAAAAUAAACGUACAAAGCUCUCAGCUCAAAUCCAAAAUGAAAUAAACCUGAAGACCAAUUCGACGAAGGAACAGAUGAAAACAUCAUCAACCAGCGACCUCGCCGCCCUUUCCACGAGGCCACAGAGGUCAGUCCAACGCUAGGCUGGCGUUGGCCCGGAGGUGCAGCAUGAUCUCUGCGUUGGGGAAGACACACAGAGGGUAGAUCUUGUAACACGGGUUGCCCUGCUGCCCGUGCCUAACCGCCUUGUCGUAUUUGCCGAAGGAGGUGGUCUCGUCGCUCUCCUCGCGCCCUCUGGAGGUGGCGUGAUGGCAGCAAGAACACGAUCUCGUCGUCCUCCAGCUUCCGCGGGUCCUUCUGCGCCAGCUCGCACACCAGGCGGAGGCCGCACUGGUCGCUGUCCUUCGAUGAUCUGGACGGGAACAGGGAAGUUAGCUUCUAAGAAAAGCCUUUCUGUUCUCGGAAGUACGGAGCAGAUUUGCAGGUGAUUGUCUGUGUAAAUGAGGCAAAUGGUUUAAACAAAUUUUGUUAUACUUUCUUUCUAGAUUUUCUUCUAGUUCGUCAAACCGGUAAUAUACAAACAUAAAAAAAAAAUCACGGAU